AGGGAUAGCCUUUCGAAAGAAAGAUUAAUACCUGAUGGUAUGAUGAGAUUGCAUGAUAGCAUCAUUAAAGAUUUAUCGGUGUACGAUGGGGAUGCGUUCCAUUAGGUAGUAGGCGGGGUAACGGCCCACCUAGCCAACGAUGGAUAGGGGUUCUGAGAGGAAGGUCCCCCACAUUGGAACUGAGACACGGUCCAAACUCCUACGGGAGGCAGCAGUGAGGAAUAUUGGUCAAUGGACGAGAGUCUGAACCAGCCAAGUAGCGUGAAGGAUGAAGGUCCUACGGAUUGUAAACUUCUUUUAUAAGGGAAUAAACCCUCCCACGUGUGGGAGCUUGUAUGUACCUUAUGAAUAAGCAUCGGCUAACUCCGUGCCAGCAGCCGCGGUAAUACGGAGGAUGCGAGCGUUAUCCGGAUUUAUUGGGUUUAAAGGGAGCGCAGACGGGUCGUUAAGUCAGCUGUGAAAGUUUGGGGCUCAACCUUAAAAUUGCAGUUGAUACUGGCGUCCUUGAGUGCGGUUGAGGUGUGCGGAAUUCGUGGUGUAGCGGUGAAAUGCUUAGAUAUCACGAAGAACUCCGAUUGCGAAGGCAGCACACUAAUCCGUAACUGACGUUCAUGCUCGAAAGUG
rnacentral:rRNA from 1 species